rnacentral:rRNA from 1 species
CCGGCGCACGGGUGAGUAACACGUAUGCAACCUGGCCGUCACAGGUGGAUAACCGGAAGAAAUUCCGACUAAUACAGCAUAACACUCCUGAGGGACAUCCUUCGGGAGUCAAAGGAGGCAACUCCGGUGACGGAUGGGCAUGCGGCGCAUUAGGUAGUUGGUAGGGUAACGGCCUACCAAGCCGACGAUGCGUAGGGGUUCUGAGAGGAAGGUCCCCCACAUUGGUACUGAGACACGGACCAGACUCCUACGGGAGGCAGCAG